CGACUGAUCAGAAGAAGUAGAAACCUGGGAAGAAAACACGACAGUUCGCGUCAAUAGUAAGAGAGGUGUUGAACGGAAGCAGAGCUCUGGAGCGUGAGGACAGACAGUGGCUGUAAUGAUGGACGUGUGCUGAAGGACGGGACUCAUUUUCAAUGAUGCCACCCUUCCUUUUUCGUGUUCAGACUGAAGUACGUUAAGGUGGAUCUGUUUUGUCUUUUGCGAAAGGAAGAAGACGAGCAUCAAGUGAUUUCCAGUGGAUGCCAUGACCUCCUCGG